rnacentral:tRNA from 1 species
UCCCUGGUGGCUCAAAUGGUAAAGAAUUUGCUUGCAAAGCAGGAGACCCAGGUUCGAUCCCUGGGUUGGGAA